rnacentral:rRNA from 1 species
CCUACGGGAGGCAGCAGUGGGGAAUAUCGCACAAUGGGCGCAAGCCUGAUGCAGCCAUGCCGCGUGUGUGAAGAAGGCCUUCGGGUUGUAAAGCACUUUCAGCGGGGAGGAAGGCGUUAAGGUUAAUAACCUUGUCGAUUGACGUUACCCGCAGAAGAAGCACCGGCUAACUCCGUGCCAGCAGCCGCGGUAAUACGGAGGGUGCAAGCGUUAAUCGGAAUUACUGGGCGUAAAGCGCACGCAGGCGGUCUGUCAAGUCGGAUGUGAAAUCCCCGGGCUCAACCUGGGAACUGCAUUCGAAACUGGCAGGCUAGAGUCUUGUAGAGGGGGGUAGAAUUCCAGGUGUAGCGGUGAAAUGCGUAGAGAUCUGGAGGAAUACCGGUGGCGAAGGCGGCCCCCUGGACAAAGACUGACGCUCAGGUGCGAAAGCGUGGGGAGCAAACAGGAUUAGAUACCCCGGUAGUC